rnacentral:rRNA from 1 species
AGUGAACGCUGGCGGUAGGCCUAACACAUGCCAGUCGAACGGCAGCGCAGUAAGAGCUUGCUCUUACGGGUGGCGAGUGGCGGACGGGUGAGGAAUACAUCGGAAUCUACUUUUUCGUGGGGGAUAACGUAGGGAAACUUACGCUAAUACCGCAUACGACCUACGGGUGAAAGCAGGGGAUCUUCGGACCUUGCGCGAUUGAAUGAGCCGAUGUCGGAUUAGCUAGUUGGCGGGGUAAAGGCCCACCAAGGCGACGAUCCGUAGCUGGUCUGAGAGGAUGAUCAGCCACACUGGAACUGAGACACGGUCCAGACUCCUACGGGAGGCAGCAGUGGGGAAUAUUGGACAAUGGGCGCAAGCCUGAUCCAGCCAUACCGCGUGGGUGAAGAAGGCCUUCGGGUUGUAAAGCCCUUUUGUUGGGAAAGAAAAGCAGCAGGUUAAUACCCCGCUGUUCUGACGGUACCCAAAGAAUAAGCACCGGCUAACUUCGUG